CGUGUAGGCGGCCGGUCAAGUCAGAUGUGAAAUCCCGGGGCUCAACCUCGGAAGGGCAUUUGAAACUGGUCGGCUUGAGUUCGGGAGAGGGAAGUGGAAUUCCGGGUGUAGAGGUGAAAUUCGUAGAUAUCCGGAGGAACACCGGUGGCGAAGGCGACUUCCUGGACCGAAACCGACGCUGAGACGCGAAAGCGUGGGGAGCAAACA
rnacentral:rRNA from 1 species